rnacentral:rRNA from 1 species
GGACCCGCACAAGCAGUGGAGCAUGUGGUUUAAUUCGAUGAUACGCGAGGAACCUUACCAGGGCUUAAAUGCAGAACGACAGAGGUGGAAACACCUCCUUCUUCGGACGGUCUGCAAGGUGCUGCAUGGUUGUCGUCAGCUCGUGCUGUGAAGUGUCGGGUUAAGUCCCAUAACGAGCGCAACCCCUAUUUCUAGUUGCCAGCGGUUCGGCCGGGGACUCUAGAGAAACUGCCAGCGUAAGCUGUGAGGAAGGUGGGGAUGACGUCAAAUCAUCACGGCCCUUACGUCCUGGGCUACACACGUGCUACAAUGGCAUCUACAGUGAGUUAAUCUCCAAAAGAUGUCUCAGUUCG